GUCGGUGGCGGCGGAACUGGGCCGGUCUCUGUCGGACGCUCGGUGCCAGUGGAGCUCCGCGGGGGAGUGCCGGGGGACCGACGCGGCUCCGUGAACGGGGAGAGGUGCGCGGCGAGGAGCGACCGGCCAACCCUCUUCCGCCGACACUGCGGCAGCAGCU